rnacentral:rRNA from 1 species
AACAAACGCUGGCGGCGUGUCUUAAGCAUGCAAGUCGAGCGGCAAGGGCAGCAAUGCCCCUAGAGCGGCGGACUGGUGAGUAACGCGUGGGUGAUCUACCUAGGGCAUGGGGAUAGCCAUUAGAAAUAGUGGGUAAUACCGAAUACGUUCGCAUGGAUGCGUCCAUGCGAGGAAAGGUGCUACGGCACCGGCCUAUGAUGAGCUUGCGUCUGAUUAGCUAGUUGGUGAGGUAAAGGCCCACCAAGGCGAUGAUCGGUAGCCGGCCUGAGAGGGUGUACGGCCACACUGGGACUGAGAUACGGCUCAGACUCCUACGGGAGGCAGCAGCUAAGAAUAUUCCGCAAUGGACGAAAGUCUGACGGAGCGACGCCGCGUGGAUGAUGAAGGCCGAAAGGUUGUAAAGUCCUUUUGCUGGGGAAGAAUAAGCGUGGGAGGGAAUGCCCGCGUGAUGACAUGAACCGGCGAAUAAGCCCCGGCUAACUACGUGCCAG